rnacentral:rRNA from 1 species
AACCGUAUAGGGGAGCCGUAGAGAAAUCGAGUCUUAAUAGGGCGUUUAGUUGCUGGGUAUAGACCCGAAACCGGGUGAUCUAUCCAUGAGCAGGUUGAAGGUUGGGUAACACUAACUGGAGGACCGAACCCACUGUCGUUGAAAAGCCAGGGGAUGACUUGUGGAUAGGGGUGAAAGGCUAAUCAAACUCGGUGAUAGCUGGUUCUCCCCGAAAGCUAUUUAGGUAGCGCCUCGGACGAAUACCAUAGGGGGUAGAGCACUGUUUCGGCUAGGGGGUCAUCCCGACUUACCAAACCGAUGCAAACUCCGAAUACCUAUGAGUACUAUCCGGGAGACAGACUGCGGGUGCUAACGUCCGUAGUCAAGAGGAAAACAAUCCAGACCGCC